rnacentral:rRNA from 1 species
GACGAACGCUGGCGGCGUGCCUAAUACAUGCAAGUAGGACGCAGUUGCGAACGGGUGAGUAACGCGUAGGUAACUACCUAUUAGAGGGGGAUAACUAUUGGAAACGAUAGCUAAUACCGCAUACUCGUAGAUGUACCUGCGUUGUAUUAGCUAGUAGGUAGGGUAAUGGCCUACCUAGGCAACGAUACAUAGCCGACCUGAGAUGGUGAUCGGCCCAACUGGGACUGAGACACGGCACAGACUGCCAGGGGAGGCAGCAGUAGGGAAUCGUCGGGAAUGGGGGGAAAACUGACCGAGCAACGGCGAGGGAGUGAAGAAGGUUGUCGGAUCGUAAAGCUCUGUUGUUAAGGAAGCGGUACUGAAAGAGAAAGGGACGGCUAACUACGUGCCAGCAGCCGCGGUAAUAC